CCCCCUUUGUGCUGGGGGAGCUGCUUGGAGAGGGAAGGGGCUGCAGAGGGUGGGCAUGAGAGGAGCAUGGAGGGAAUCUCUUAAGGGGCAGGGAGGAAACCUCCUGAGGGGCAUGGUGUGGGGCAGGAGUUGCUGCCCCGCUUGGCCAAGGCACGUGUGGCUUCAGCAGCAUGCCCUAUUGGAGGGAAGGCAGGUGCAGAGGUUUCUGAGAAGAGAGCCAGAAAUCAAAACUGGAUCCUGUCACCCCUGAUCAACUCCUGAUGGAAAGUCAAGAAAAGGAAAUGAACUUCAAGAAAGUGGACCAAAAUUCUCUUCCCAGUCACAUUUCCUGGAAGAGAAGAACGAGCAGUAUGUA